rnacentral:tRNA from 1 species
GGCUCAGUUGGUUAGAGUGCUGGUCUGUCACGCUAGAAGUCGCGGGUUCGAACCCCGU